rnacentral:rRNA from 1 species
AUUGAACGCUAGCGGGAUGCUUUACACAUGCAAGUCGAACGGAGUGGCGGACGGGUGAGUAAUAUCUCGGAACGUUCCCAGUAGCGGGGGUUCACUACUCGGAAGAGUGGCUAAUUCCGCCUACUCUUGGAUCGGCCGAUAUCGGAUGUGCUAGUUGGUGGGGUAAAGGCUCACCAAGGCAACGAUCCGUAGCGGGUUUGAGAGGACGACCAGCCACACUGGGACUGAGACACGGCCCAGACUCCUACGGGAGGCAGCAGUGGGGAAUUUUCGACAAUGGGGGAAACCCUGAUCCAGCCAUCCCGCGUGUAUGAGGAAGGCCUUCGGGUUGUAAAGUACUUUAGGCAGGGAAGCGGUACCUGCAGAAUAAGCACCGGCUAACUACGUGCCAGCAGCCGCGGUAAUAC